rnacentral:rRNA from 1 species
CACGUAGUUAGCCGUGGCUUUCUGAUUAGUUACCGUCAAUCCCUAGCCAGUUACUACUAGGGGUGUUCUUGGCUAAUAACAGUGCUUUACGAUCCGAAAACCUUCUUCACACACGCGGCGUUGCUCCGUCAGACUUGCGUCCAUUGCGGAAGAUUCCCUACUGCUGCCUCCCGUAGGAGUUUGGGCCGUGUCUCAGUCCCAAUGUGGCCGAUUACCCUCUCAGGUCGGCUAUGCAUCAUGGCCUUGGUAAGCCGUUACCUUACCAACUAGCUAAUGCACCGCGGGCCCAUCCUUGAGUGAUAGCAGAGCCAUCUUUCAAUCAACCAUCAGGCGAUGAUUGCUGUUAUGCGGUAUUAGCGAUCGUUUCCGACCGUUAUCCCCCGCUCAAGGGUAGGUUUCCCACGUGUUACUCACCCGUCCGCCACUCACGUUAAGAGAACAAGUUCUCCGUCAGUGCGUUCGACUUGCAUGUAUUAGGCACGCCGCCAGCGUUCGUCCUGAGCCAC